UAGUCCACGCCGUAAACGAUGUCAACUAGCUGUUAGGUGUAUAUUUAGUGGCGUAGCUAACGCGUUAAGUUGACCGCCUGGGAAGUACGGCCGCAAGGUUAAAACUCAAAUGAAUUGACGGGGACCCGCACAAGCGGUGGAGCAUGUGGUUUAAUUCGAUGCAACGCGAAGAACCUUACCUACCCUUGACAUCUUCGGAAAACUUUGUAAUGAAGUUGUGCCUUCGGGAACCGAAUGACAGGUGUUGCAUGGCUGUCGUCAGCUCGUGUUGUGAAAUGUUGAGUUAAGUCCCGUAACGAGCGCAACCCUCGUCCUUAGUUGCUAACAUUUAGUUGAGAACUUUAAGGAUACCGCCGGUGAUAAACUGGAGGAAGGAGAGGACGACGUCAAGUCAUCAUGGCCCUUACGGGUAGGGCUACACACGUGCUACAAUGGUUGGUACAAAGGGUUGCCAAAGCGUAAGCUGGAGCUAAUCUCACAAAGCCAAUCGUAGUCCGGAUUAGAGUCUGCAACUCGACUCUAUGAAGUUGG
rnacentral:rRNA from 1 species